CCUACGGGCGGCAGCAGUGAGGAAUAUUGGUCAAUGGACGAGAGUCUGAACCAGCCAAGUAGCGUGAAGGAUGACUGCCCUAUGGGUUGUAAACUUCUUUUAUAUGGGAAUAAAACGUUCCACGUGUGGGAUUUUGUAUGUACCAUAUGAAUAAGGAUAGGCUAACUCCGUGCCAGCAGCCGCGGUAAUACGGGGGAUCCGAGGGUUAUCCGGAUUUAUUGGGUUUAAAGGGAGCGUAGGUGGAUUGUUAAGUCAGUUGUGAAAGUUUGCGGCUCAACCGUAAAAUUGCAGUUGAAACUGGCAGUCUUGAGUACAGUAGAGGUGGGCGGAAUUCGUGGUGUAGCGGUGAAAUGCUUAGAUAUCACGAAGAACUCCGAUUGCGAAGGCAGUUCACUGGACUGCAACUGACACUGAGGCUCGAAAGUGUGGGUAUCAAACAGGAUUAGAUACCCGGGUAGUC
rnacentral:rRNA from 1 species